UCAGAUGCCUUCACCUGACCACUGCUUGGUGAUCCCAUGGCACUUUGUACAUCUCUCCAUUAGCUCUCAUCUCACCAGCCCAUCAUUAUUGUAUGUGCUGCCUUCUGAAGCUUGCAGCUGGCUACAUCAGUCCAAUGUGAAUAACAAAAUGAAGAAUAUCAGGAUGAUUUGAGACCAGGAAUACUACAGAUGUCCAACACUUCCACCUGGAAUCCCCAAAGAGGCCCGCUUUUAGCCUCCACACUGGUUGGUGAC
rnacentral:lncRNA from 10 species